CGCGUAGGCGGCUCAUAAAGGCUGUGGUGAAAGUUCGGGGCUCAACCUCGAAUCGGCCGUGGCGACUUGUGGGCUGGAGCACUGUAGAGGCAGGUGGAAUUCCGGGUGUAGCGGUGGAAUGCGUAGAGAUCCGGAAGAACACCAGUGGCGAAGGCGGCCUGCUGGGCAGUGGCUGACGCUGAGGCGCGACAGCGUGGGAGCAAACA
rnacentral:rRNA from 1 species